rnacentral:rRNA from 1 species
GUCCACGCCGUAAACGAUGUCUACUAGCCGUUGGGGUACUUGAGACCUUGGUGGCGCAGCUAACGCGAUAAGUAGACCGCCUGGGGAGUACGGCCGCAAGGUUAAAACUCAAAUGAAUUGACGGGGGCCCGCACAAGCGGUGGAGCAUGUGGUUUAAUUCGAUGCAACGCGAAGAACCUUACCAGGCCUUGACAUCCUAGGAAUCCUGUAGAGAUACGGGAGUGCCUUCGGGAAUCUAGAGACAGGUGCUGCAUGGCU